AGAGUUUGAUCCUGGCUCAGGACGAACGCUGGCGGCGUGCCUAACACAUGCAAGUCGAGCGAGUGGAGUUCUUCGGAACAAAGCUAGCGGCGGACGGGUGAGUAACACGUGGGCAACCUGCCUCAUAGAGGGGAAUAGCCUCCCGAAAGGGAGAUUAAUACCGCAUAAGAUUGUAGCUUCGCAUGAAGUAGCAAUUAAAG
rnacentral:rRNA from 1 species